rnacentral:rRNA from 1 species
UACGGGGGGGCAAGCGUUGUUCGGAAUUACUGGGCGUAAAGGGCUCGUAGGUGGCCAACUAAGUCAGACGUGAAAUCCCUCAGCUUAACUGGGGAACUGCGUCUGAUACUGGAUGGCUUGAGUUUGGGAGAGGGAUGCGGAAUUCCAGGUGUAGCGGUGAAAUGCGUAGAUAUCUGGAGGAACACCGGUGGCGAAGGCGGCAUCCUGGACCAACACUGACACUGAGGAGCGAAAGCCAGGGGAGCAAACGAGG